ACGGCGAGUGAGCGGCAACAGCUCAAAUUUGAAAUCUGGCUUCGGCCCGAGUUGUAAUUUGCAGAGGAAGCUUUGGGCGCGGCACCGACUGAGUCCCCUGGAACGGGGCGCCAUAGAGGGUGAGAGCCCCGUAUAGUCGGACGCUAAGCCUGUGUAAAGCUCCUUCGACGAGUCGAGUAGUUUGGGAAUGCUGCUCAAAAUGGGAGGUAAAUUUCUUCUAAAGCUAAAUACCGGCCAGAGACCGAUAGCGCACAAGUAGAGUGAUCGAAAGAUGAAAAGCACUUUGAAAAGAGGGUUAAAUAGCACGUGAAAUUGUUGAAAGGGAAGCGCUUGUGACCAGACUUGCGCCUGGCUGAUCAUCCGGUGUUCUCACCGGUGCACUCUGCCAGGCUCAGGCCAGCAUCGGUUCUCGCGGGGGGAUAAAGGCCCUGGGAACGUAGCUCCUCCGGGAGUGUUAUAGCCCAGGGUGCAAUGCCCUCGCGGGGACCGAGGUUCGCGCAUCUGCAAGGAUGCUGGCGUAAUGGUCAUCAGCGACCCGUC
rnacentral:rRNA from 1 species